CCCCACCCCCACCCACCCACCCAUGAAAGGAGGUGUCUGCAGCGAGACCCUCGCCUGAGUCGCCACGUUCUGAACCCGGCGUGAGACAGACUCGUGUGUAUUUCCCCGGCGACGCAUUUAGGAAGAUGCAGUCGCCAAAAGUCCUCAUCCUGAUCAUGACCACAGCUCUGAGCCAUCAGCCAGCUCCACAACCCGCGAGAUCCCGACACUUUCCCUGGAACUACACCUGGAUAGUGCUUUCUGAAAGAGGAGAUGUUGUUUGGUCCCGCUCUCAAAUCUCGCCAGACGUCUGGUGGCCAAGUGUUUUACAACCCGAUCUCUGUAAAUUAGCCCUAGGUGCAGGAGCCCCUUGGGGUGUAGAAGAUCUUCUUGAGCAGAGUGUAGCGCCUAAUACUCCUCGUGGGGCGUCAGAUUCCCCCGGUUGCUCUGAUGAACAUCGCCGAACAGCCCUUAGGUCAUACACUUUUUAUGUCUGCCCCGGGCAACACCGACCCCGUGAACUCCUCCAUAAAUGCGGAGGCAAAACAGAUUUUUAUUGUGCAUCUUGGGGAUGUGAGACCACAGGAGAUGGUUACUGGAAGCCCUCCUCUUCCUGGGAUUAUAUUACUGUCAAAGCCCAUUAUCCCCACCACAGCGCUUUUUGGUCAGACGAUGUGAUCCCAGGAUGCAAAAAUUCGAAUACUACUACUAAAGGUUGGUGCAACCCUCUUUCAAUCACAUUCACCGAACCAGGGAAAAAGGCCUCAAGCUGGACACAAGGAUAUACUUGGGGUCUUCGCUUAUAUAAAGAACAUUAUGAUGAAGGCAUCACCUUUACUAUUAAACUCCUUAAAGAGUUCCCUGCCACCCCUUCCGCCGCCAUAGGCCCAAAUACAGUCCUAGGUGGGAAGCACCCUCCCCCACCAAAGCCUUCCGCCCUCGCCUGACCAUAGCUUCACCACCGGCAGUCUUAAACCCUCCCCUAUGUCGCCAGUGCCCGCCCUAGCGAGCUCUAAAGACCUUGUCCUCACCCUAUAAAUCAAACCUUCCUUAGUCUUAAUUCCACCACUCCUGAGCUUACCGCCGAAUGUUGGUUAUGUUACCACUCUUCCCCGCCUUUUUAUGAAGGUGCCGCAAUCCCUGGCAACUUCUCCACCUCCAAUGAUACCUACAACUGCCGUUGGGAACGCGCUAGUUGGGAAGGCCUAACCUUAGCCCAAGUAGUCGGUAAUGGGACUUGUAUAACUAACACUCCUUGAAAGAUCCCUCACGAGUACACCCACCUCUGUCGAGAAAUCUUCCCCAUUGAACAGGGACCCCAAUUUAUAGUUCCCCCCAAUGACACCUGGUGGGCCUGCUUAGAUGGACUCACCCCCUGUACCUACAAUCCCAUUUUACAAGAGCAUGGAUUUUGUGUUCUCGUAAGUUAUACCCAGGCUCAUUUACUACCGGCCUGAUGAGUUCUUCCAUAUCUGGGAACAAUCUUCAGACCCUUCUCUUCCUAAACGCUCCCGCCGAGAACCCAUUACUGCUGUUACUAUCGCUGUUUUGCUUGGCCUAGGGACUGUAGGUGCAGGCACAGGCAUAUCUUCUCUGCUUCUUUCUAACUCCCGCUAUCACGAGCUCAGUGCCACUAUAGAUCAAGAUAUCCAAGAAUUGCAAAAAGUAAUCUCUGACCUGACAGACUCGAUCUCGUCCCUUGCUGAAGUAGUUCUCCAAAAUCGCAGAGGGCUAGAUCUGCUCUUUCUGCAGCAGGGCGGGCUUUGUGCCGCCCUGAAGGAGGAGUGUUGUUUCUAUGCUGACAAAACAGGAGUACUUAGAGAUAGUAUGAGAAGAGUUAGAGAAAGGUUAGAAAAAAGGAGAAUAGAAAGAGAGCAGAGUGAAAGUUGGUAUAAAAAUUGGUUCUCCACCUCUCCAUGGCUUACUACUCUUUUACCCUCUCUCAUAGGCCCCCUUAUAGGAUUAAUAUUGCUCUUGUCUUUUGGCCCUUGGGCUCUUAAACAUUUGACGAGCCUUGUAAAGAAGCAAAUAGACACCCUUGUUGGCAAGCCUAUUCAAGUCCACUAUCACAAACUUGCCUGCCAUAGUGAUGAGGAAGCUCCCUCCUCCAGCAGAUAUAAACAUCAGGAUGACUCUUCUAAGAGUCCUUGAGCAAGCUGGCUGAGUACCAAGGGUAAUGGCAGCGAAAAACCUGCCUUGAGGGACAUGUCUGAUUGCAUAGUGGUUUGUGUCCAGUGUCUUCCUCUCCUCAGAAAAUAAGGACAUUUUGUGCAUAAUCAAGCAACUCCCUUCAGCACAGUCUGUAAGACUAAAGGAGUUCUUACACGUCAGGUACCCAUACGCCAGGUACCCACUGAGGAUCAGACCUCUGUACCCCACCCCACCCCUUGGAGUACUCAGCUUUACAGAAUCCUCACUGAAAAAUAUUAAUUCUGACAACAAAUCAAGUCAAGACUGGUAGCCAAUGACGGGUAAGAUAUGGUUGUAUUGGGAAUACCAACCUAAGACGGUAUAGUCGCUAGAGGACUAUAGCCCCAUGACGGGUAAGGAUUUCCUUCAGCCAUACAACCUAAGACAGGCACAGGCCUUGACCCAGCUGGAGUUAGGCUGGCUGUUCCAAUAUAAGAAAAACGGGGGAGAUGUUGGGAGCAAACCUGUGGGCCUUUAGGCAGGCUCGGUUACGAAAGCCUUAAGACAACAGCAACCUUUAAAGUCUCCUGUAAAGUCAGCAACAAUGAAUCCGUCCACGCGUUAGAAACAAGUUUUCCGCUAUUACCAAGAAACGCAUUUAGUAAACUCCUAAGUUAGAACUAGUGGUUAAGCUACCUAGCAACAUGCGCUUUUCUGUCCUUUGUUAAUCAAAAAAAACACCCUCUGCCCCAGGGGAAAGCCCCACCCUUAAAACCUCCCUCCCAAGGGCCCCCACCCACAAAAUGGCGAACUCCCUGCUUCUCUUUCGGGGCCUCCGCUCCCACCGGCGCCACCUAAAGCCCAAUCACCUUCUGACCCACCCCUUCCUCGCUACCUGUAUAAAUUGAGCCUGCAAACAAUAAACUGCCAGCUUGAUCAGA